AAACGCGACCUUAAAUAAAAUAAACAAUAAUAACGAAAGUCUAUCAUUCAUCGGAGCAAAUGAUACGUCCACUGAUUUCCUCCUUUCUUUCUCAGAUCACAGGAUUUCCUGUUAUUCCCUAAUUACUUCCCUCAGAAUCAUCAUUUUUCUUCCCUUCUUCACGAUCUGCUUCUUCCUUUCUCUCUUCUUCCUCAUUUAUGUUAGUUUUAUUAACUCGUAUUUAAACUUCGACACGUUUAUCUGCCGUUUCUUUCUGCAUCGUCUUCCUUUCGCGAGGACCAUAGUCUAUUUAUCUCAUUUAUUAACUCUUUCGAAAAAUCAAAUCUCCGGAAAACAAUAUCAAUCUUUGUGUAUUGUUGUUGUAUUCGAGCAUUAAGAAACUAAAAUUUUCAAAAUUCUCUGUACAAACAGAAACAAUCCAUCGAAAGUAAAUCGCGUACCACUGCAACCAAAAUCGCAGCUUUUUCCCUGGUUAAACACCGAAUACGUAGAUCGUUCCCACUGUUGUACGAUAAAUCGUUGGCUACCGAUCGAGAAUCUCUCCCGGUCGCCUGAUAAAUUAUAACCUGGCCGAACGAGCACCAAACAAUCGAGAUAUUUAUGCAAAACGUACGAAUACACGAAUAACGAGAAGAGCACAGUCCGGCCGAAAAUUUACCUUUCGUCCGGUCGCGCAAAUUAGCCUCAUUAUUCAAUCAGCUCAAGUUAUAUUACUCGCACGCGUAAACGUUACUACUAUCGUAGUUAUAUUCAACGCGGCGACACGGCGUCAAUUUGAAGCAGGAGAUCCCCCUUUUGGCCCCCCAUACCAUCCCUGUAGUGC
rnacentral:misc_RNA from 1 species